rnacentral:lncRNA from 1 species
GGUGAAGAAGCGCCGAGGCUGGGAGUAGGGGCCUCAGUUGAUGGGGACGGUGGGCUGGAGGCCGAAGGUGAUAGCGCUGGAGACUUAGCUUUGGUCUUGCUAGGGGCCGGAGCUGGAACCGUGGCAGGAGGAGAAGCCAAAGGAGCUGGUGGUGGGGUAGCUGGAGGAGGAGUAGCAGGAGGGGGAGAAGCAGGUGGUGGGGUAGCCUGAGGUGGAGAAGCCGGUGGGGGAGUUGCGGGAGGUGGGGUAGCUGGGGGAGGAGUAGCCGGUGGAGGAGAAGCUGGUGGUGGGGAGCUAACGGGCGGGGGAGUCGCUGGAGGAGGAGUGGAAACUGGUGGUGGAGAAGCUGUCACUGGAGGUGGUGAUGAUGUAGGAGGAGGAGUGGAAGCUGGUGGCGGAGAAGUAGUUGUGGGUGUUGGAGGUGGUUGAGUAGUAGGCGGAGGUGUGGAAGCGGGUGGGGUCGGCGGCACCGGCGUGGAUGUCGGAGGAUUACUAGGAGUAGGAGGAGCUUGGCCUAAAGCGCCAGCUACAGCAAUGCAAAACAAAGCUGAUAAGAACAAAAACUUGUUAUUAAGCAUCAUGUUGGAAACAAUGGUGACCCUUUAAUCCUGCACACCCUCUCCGCUUAAACUACGCCCAGCCGCGCAAGCAAAAGAGGG